UACGAAGGGGGCUAGCGUUGCUCGGAAUCACUGGGCGUAAAGCGCACGUAGGCGGAUUGUUAAGUCAGGGGUGAAAUCCUGGAGCUCAACUCCAGAACUGCCUUUGAUACUGGCGAUCUUGAGUCCGGGAGAGGUGAGUGGAACUGCGAGUGUAGAGGUGAAAUUCGUAGAUAUUCGCAAGAACACCAGUGGCGAAGGCGGCUCACUGGCCCGGUACUGACGCUGAGGUGCGGGAAGCGUGGGGAGCAAACAGG
rnacentral:rRNA from 1 species